ensembl:snoRNA Gm23482 small nucleolar RNA SNORA24
CCCUGUGUUCCUGGGACCCAUCUUCUGUGGCCAUCUUCCCUUUCUGCCUAGCCACAGUAGAGCAUGGCUUUGUUUUUAACAAAGUUGUCACUGUUUAGUUGGUACCAGCUUCUGAUUUGCACAGGUAACAAUU